UGGAACUAUACAUGCCGAUGUCAACAGCAUCUGUAGCAUGGAAAGAAAAGGUUUCCAAAGGAGAAGUGGACGAAAGUGUUAAUCUGCCAGCCAAUGGAGACCCAAAGUCAGCCUCAGACAGAGUGAGAUCUUUGGAAUCGUUGGAGAAUGUGAAGAGAAAUUAUUGGCACAAUUGGCAUCUUAAACACGUGUGGAGCGGAAGAGACUGAUUUCAACCUGUGAAUAGAUUAAAGGAAC